AUGACCUCCUGCGGCAACGAGCCGCUCUUCAAGGACGGCAAGGGAUGCGGCUCAUGCUACCAGAUACGGUGCGUGUCGGCGGGCCACCCGGCGUGCUCGGGCGUGCCGGAGACGGUGAUCAUCACGGACAUGAACUACUACCCGGUGUCCCGCUUCCACUUCGACCUCAGCGGCACCGCCUUCGGCGCCAUGGCCAAGGACGGCCGCAACGACGAGCUCCGCCACGCCGGCAUCAUCGACAUGCAGUUCAGGAGGGUGCCGUGCCAGUACCCGGGGCUGACGGUGACGUUCCACGUACAGCACGGGUCGAACCCGUACUACCUGGCGAUCCUGGUGGAGUACGAGAACGGAGACGGCGACGUGGACCAGGGCCCCUUCUCGCUGCGCAUCACCAACGAGUCCGGCAAGACGCUCGUCGCCGACCAGGUCAUCCCCGCCGACUGGGAGCCCAACGAGAUCUACAGCUCCAUCAUCCAGUUCGACUAG
rnacentral:rRNA from 1 species